GCUGGCGGCAGGCCUAAUACAUGCAAGUCGAGCGCGCCCUUCGGGGUGAGCGGCGGACGGGUGAGUAACGCGUGGGAAUAUGCCCUUCUCUAAGGAAUAGCCUCUGGAAACGGAGAGUAAUACCUUAUACGCCCUUUGGGGGAAAGAUUUAUCGGAGAAGGAUUAGCCCGCGUUAGAUUAGGUAGUUGGUGGGGUAAUGGCCUACCAAGCCUACGAUCUAUAGCUGGUUUGAGAGGAUGAUCAGCCACACUGGGACUGAGACACGGCCCAGACUCCUACGGGAGGCAGCAGUAGGGAAUCUUAGACAAUGGGGGCAACCCUGAUCUAGCCAUGCCGCGUGUGUGAUGAAGGCCCUAGGGUCGUAAAGCACUUUCGCCAGAGAUGAUAAUGACAGUAUCUGGUAAAGAAACCCCGGCUAACUCCGUGCCAGCAGCCGCGGUAAUACGGAGGGGGUUAGCGUUGUUCGGAAUUACUGGGCGUAAAGCGCACGUAGGCGGAUUAGUAAGUUAGAGGUGAAAUCCCAGGGCUCAACCCUGGAACUGCCUUUAAUACUGCUAGUCUUGAGUUCGAGAGAGGUAAGUGGAAUUCCGAGUGUAGAGGUGAAAUUCGUAG
rnacentral:rRNA from 1 species